CUGCUUCAAGUCGCUGUCCUGGAGAGAAACAAGUCGUAUGAAUCUCAGCCACGAACAAGCGAAUGUUCCAACGAAGGAAGGACAGUUUGGACUGUUGGACGGGGAGGUGCAGUGGUGUGUUGUGUCACAAUGACAGGGACUACAGACGGGGAACUAAUGAGACGACUCCCAGAUCGCACUGAAGUGUUAAGGAAGGGGACUUGUCUCCGGAAGGUUGCAGGUUCGAAUCCACCAGCCACCAGGCGCGACUGAGCAAGGCACCAUCCCCACAUUUCUCUCUGAGCAGCUCAAGCUGAGCUACUUACUAAGUCUCUUCAGUGCGGUACGGAGUUGGACAGCGGUGCGAGGAUCAUGGUUGCUGAGAGGAGUAUCGCUCUUUCUGCUGCUCUCUACCAUCAAAACACACACACACACACACACACAAGCAGUUUAAUAAUCAUGCUUCACUGUCUAAGUUGAAAAUAUACUGGAUUCAUAAUGUCAUGGUUGCCAUGCCAGGUUUUUGCGAUAUAUAAAAAAGAGACCAAUCACUUCGACCUUUACGGUGACCUGUAGACUUUACAAUAAUCUUUUAAAGAGGCUCAGUAAAAACAAACCACUGAGAUGAUGUGGUUACACAUGUUCUCACGACCUCUUAUAACGGGGGCUGUGGCUGUGUUCAGAAUUAACCAAUCAGAUUCAGCUGUUCUAGUAACCUUUUCUUUUUUUUGUAGUCACGGUCUGCAGAGAGGUUCCACAGCAACAGACGGAUCUCAGUGUUCCAAGG